ensembl:lncRNA
CUGGAAGUUGUUAACCUUGGAAGAGCAGUGUUUGCAAUUGUUCUUUGGAGAGAAAGAGAAAACUGAGAAACUCCUUGAAUAUAAAUACGCAAACAUGCUGCAGAUUGUUUAAUCAGUGAUGCAGCUAACUAAUUUAACCCUUUCCUAGGUGACUGAGUUUUCUUCUUAACCGGCCUGAGAAAGCAAGCACGCUGCUCCCACCAUCGUGGAGAGCAGGAUUCAGCAGCCAGGCCUGGGCGGGCAGAUGGGUGAGGCGAGCAGGGCAGGCAGGAGCAUCCUGGCUGAAAGCAGACAGCCUGGGUGGAAUGACCAAAGGGAGCGGCAUGGCUGGGGAUGGUGCGAUCCCCCAUGAUGAUGGUGAAGCCACAAAGUCAAGUACGCUCCCUUCUGAAAGUUACUAAAUGAACUUCAAUCAGGACUUCAAUUUUCUUUCUGAAAACUGCUGGCAAAACAAGUGAUUCUGUUCCUGGCCUCAGAAUAAGGAAGAACAUGUACGCUUCAGAUACCUGAAAGGAACUGCUGUAUAGUGAAACUGGUAGUCACUUUUAUUCUUCACUUGGAUUUAUCUACGUACAUGAGAAAAUCACAGCCACAGAUAAGUUCAAUUUUAAUACAUACCUAUAUUAUAACAAAUUAUGUUCCUACUGCUCUCAAUGAGUUACCUGAGAAAUCCCAGGAUAUUAAUUGCCAGCUGGAUAAAACAGUUGCAAAGUAAUUUCACCCAAAUAUUAGUGUUUAAUGCUAAUUGCUAAAACAUGAAUUUUAGCAGCAGCUACAUUUGAUAGUAGUUCUUUGGUUUCAAAACAGUGAGACUGGAGAGAUGUGGGUCAGGUUUGACAGCACAUCCUUGAAAAGGCCAUUUGCUGUUUGGAACAUUAUUUUCCCCCAGUGUAGAGAAAGGCCGGGCAGCACACAAUUUGUGCUAUGGCUGUCACAACACACAGGAGACAUAUCUUUAUCAGUGAUUAUUAGCUGUCCUCUUCAUCCUUGUAUUUGGUCUUUUAUUUUACUUGGCUGAAAAACAGAUUGGAAGAUAGUGCCUAUGUGUUACUGUGUGUGGCAGCAUGGACAAAAUUAUCUGGCCUUUUCUCCUUUUCCAACUGUGCAAAAACAUUAUUUUUGAUUUUGUAGUCUGCUGCAUGAAAAGUUAUAUUGGGUCUGCAUUAUUUCUGUCCUCUAAUACCUGGAAAAAAACCCACUAAAUAUGUAAUUUUAAUGUCCUUUGCCUCUUUCCACCUAAGUCUAGAUUUCUAAUUCUGCAGUGUUUAACCUUCUGCAUGAGCUAGGUAUUUCCCUGUUCACAGAACUUCUUUUUCCUUUACUUUUUGAUGCAUGUUUCUUUCAAGAAACCUCACACUGCUCAAUAGCAAAAAGAUACUUGAAAGAAAACAAUGUGCCAUGAGAUCCUGGAAUACACUGUAUCUCACCAUGACUGCCCUCCAGAUGUGGGCAUGUGGGGCAGAGACCUUCUGUCGCUCAGACUGUACGUAUGUGCAGAGCCACUGCUUCACGUUUAGUAACCCCCCAUCAGUCCUCCCUAGAUGCCAUUCUGACCUCACCUCACUGCAAGUUUGUUCUUAUUAGGGGCCUGAUCCAUCAAAGCACUUAAGCACAUGGUUGUAGGUUGUAAACCCACCAGGACUUUUUAUAACCCUGUAAAGUAUGUAGAGGGUGUACCUACGGCACUAUAAAAGAUAGGUUUAAGUGAUGCCUGUGAUAAGAGCUAGCCUUUUUUUUUCAGCAGUUAUCCUCUGUAACACACAGUUUCUGCAGUUUGUGUUGCAUAUAUUUCAAAUUAGGCUGGUUUUGACAAAUCGACUGUUUAUUUUUUAGUUUUGCCUUUUUUGUUUUUGCAUCUGUCUAGAAGAGCAUCUAUACCUAAUAAAUUUUCAAGAUAUUCUUCCUUAUCUGCAUCCCUCAAAAAACCAUUUAGAUUCUGUUAGACACUCUGGAGGAAUAUUUAAUAGUUAAAAUUUUUCAAUUCAGCUUCUUAAAAAAAUUAAAGCAAAUAAGAAAACAGAACCAUCGUGGGCCCUGCAGAUACCAGAGAGAGUAAAUCUUAAGGACUGUUCUGAGAGCACAAUUUCACCCAGUGCAGAAUUUUAAUUUCUGUAAGCACUGAAAAUAAAAAGUAAUUAAACCUCUGCAUAUUCCUCGUGUACUAUAAAUAUAUUAAUAAAAUAGGCAAAGAACACCAACUCCUAAAUUAUUAGCGGUAGUAAAAUGCUGAAUAUUGAAAUAGUUUAAUUUAUUCAUUUAUAAUUUUUAUCAGGCUUAAAUAGGCCUCUAGGAGCAAUUUAACCAUUACAAUAACACAAUUGUUCAGUACACUCAGCAGUUAGAUACACAGAUAUCAUUGCACAAAACCAAAUAGCAAACUACUGGCAAAAUCCCAUGUUCCAAUGUAAAGUGAUGAUGAAUUUACACAAAGACAGCAGAUUGUUCUCUCCUGCCUCCUUUAUGAAUGAGUAACUUCUGUAUUUCAGUGUAAAAACUACUGGUCAGUGAAUCAGUGCCUCACUUUCAGCUGGGACAGAGUUGUUUUCUUUAGGGUGUCUAAUGUAUGAUGCUGUGUAUUGGUUCCAGGAGAAAAACAAUGCUGAUAACACACCAAUGUUUAUAGUUGCUGCUAAGCAGGGUUGUACAGAGAACCAAGGCCAUUCUCAGCAAAGGGCCCAAGGAGAAGGGAUGGAACAGAAUUAGGACAGCUGACACAAACUGACCCAAGGGAUAUUCCAUACUAUACCAAGCAGAAGAAAUUUUGAAGGGAGUGGGCAUUCAUCUCUCUCUCUUACGCCGCCUGGAGGACUAGCUGAGCAUUGGUCAAGGGGUGGUGAGCAAGUGCUUGUGCAUCCCCUGUUAUUUACAUUCACACAUAUACAUACAGUCAUAACUAUUAUCCUUUUCUCUAUCUUAGUAAAUAGUUUUAUCUCAACCCACAAGCCCACAAAUUCUAUUUUUUUUUUCUUUUUUCCUGAUUUUUUCCCCCAUCACACAGGGAAGGAGGGCAGUGAGCAAAACACUGCAUGGUGCUCAGUCACCUGCCAGGUAAAACCACAGCAAUCAGUGCAAUAGGUCUGGUUGAAUGCCCACAGAAAGAGACAAGCUCUAAUUGUAAAAAUUCUGGCUAACCAGGGUUUCUGUAAGCUAGUAUAUAUAGAGCGUAAACCUAAGCCCAGAAUGAACUUAGAUCUGUCUUGGAUGUAUUUUAGAGAAAAUUGGUUAAGUCUAAAGCCACAUAUAAAGAAUAGAUGAUACAUAUUAGUAGCAGAGACAAGUGUAUAUCCUUUAGUCUAUGUAUUAAAUAAUACAUCUUCAGAAAAAAGGUACUCAUGUCUAAGGAAAAACCUACAACAUAACAUCUCCAAGAAUUUCAAGUGGUAAUUAUUCUUUCGGAUAAGUAUUAAAAGACAUUGAAAUGAAUGCAUACCUCCUGUUACACUCAGAAUUCUACCAGUAGAAGACAGCUAGUAUCAAAAAAGGGAAAAAGUGAGUGGAUCAGAGAUCUGAAUAGUCUCUUCAUAAAGAUGUAGCUUAAUAUCUCGCUUAUAUCCAAUUUGGGAAGGCUUUCUCCAGAAAUAUAGUAUCAUCGUUAAAGGUUGAAAGAGAUCUCAGGAGGUCUCUAGUCUAACCCUCUCCUCAAAACAGGAUCAGUUCUAAUGUCAGACCAAGUUACUUAGGUCUCUAACUGGUCUGAUCUUGAAACCUCCAUGGCUGGAGACUGCACAGCCUUUGGCCAUCUCAUUCCGCUGCUUGAGUGACCUGAUGCCAUGAGUCCAGAACCACUGCAGGAGUACCAAUGAAAAAAUCUGAUUUCACAAACUGCCUCCAAAUCACCCUGAGGAAACACCAUUUACGUAUACUGUGCACCUUGCAUUUUAUUUACUUCUUCUUUAAAGGAGAGCUCACUAGGUAAAUAUAAUUAUUAACUAUUACUUUUGGUAGAGGCUCCCUCAACACCUAAGCAAACAAUAUACUUUAUCAUAUUUUGAACAUUUCUUAACCAAGAGAGGUAGAAAGAGUUUUCUAAUUUAUGUAAAUGCUAAGGUCACCACCUGAAUGCGAAAGCACGAAGUUACUGACUUAGGCCUUAAUCUGAUCUAAUCUUAGAUGCAUCUGUCCCCACUGAAAAGCAUAACAGUGCCUGGACAUUAGAUGGCUGCUGCAGAAUCUGCUGCUAUGUUCACCCUAUUCCACGGAUGGAACAUGUCCCCUGGACAUACCUCCAGUGCCAUCUCCUCACGAAGAUGUUUAUAAUAUUCAUG